CAGUAGCCGCGGGAAUACAGAGGGUGCAAGCGUUAAUCGGAUUUACUGGGCGUAAAGCGUGCGUAGGCGGCUUCUUAAGUCGGAUGUGAAAUCCCUGAGCUUAACUUAGGAAUUGCAUUCGAUACUGGGAAGCUAGAGUAUGGGAGAGGAUGGUAGAAUUCCAGGUGUAGCGGUGAAAUGCGUAGAGAUCUGGAGGAAUACCGAUGGCGAAGGCAGCCAUCUGGCCUAAUACUGACGCUGAGGUACGAAAGCACGGGGAGCAAACAGGAUUAGAGACCCCCGUAGUCCCUGUCUCUUAUAC
rnacentral:rRNA from 1 species